rnacentral:rRNA from 1 species
UAGUCCACGCCGUAAACGAUGGAUACUAGCUGUUCGGAACUUGUUCUGAGUGGCUAAGCGAAAGUGAUAAGUAUCCCACCUGGGGAGUACGUUCGCAAGAAUGAAACUCAAAGGAAUUGACGGGGGCCCGCACAAGCGGUGGAGCAUGUGGUUUAAUUCGAUGAUACGCGAGGAACCUUACCUAGGCUCUAAUGUUAGUGAUCGGUACUGAAAGGUACUUUUCCUUCGGGACACGAAACAAGGUGCUGCAUGGUUGUCGUCAGCUCGUGCCGUGAGGUGUUGGGUUAAGUCCCGCAACGAGCGCAACCCUUAUCACUAGUUGCCAGCAUUUAAGGUGGGGACUCUAGUGAGACUGCCGGCGUAAGCCGUGAGGAAGGUGGGGAUGACGUCAAAUCAUCAUGGCCUUUAUGCCUAGGGCUACACACGUGCUACAAUGGCGAGUACAGAGGGUAGCGAAGCCGCAAGGUGGAGCCAAUCUCAUAAAACUCGUCCCAGUUCGGAUUGAAGUCUGGAACUCG